rnacentral:rRNA from 1 species
AAGCUGUGCACUCUAGACAGACUGCCGUGGACAACACGGAGGAAGUGGGGAUGACGUCAAAUCAUCAUGCCCCUUAUGAUCUGGGCUACACACGUGCUACAAUGGCCGGUACAACGGGCAGCGAAGGAGCGAUCCGGAGCGAAUCCUAAAAAGCCGGUCCCAGUUCGGAUUGCAGGCUGAAACUCGCCUACAUGAAGUUGGAGUUGCUAGUAAUCGCGAAUCAGAAUGUCGCGGUGAAUGCGUUCCCGGGUCUU